AGGAUCAUUAUUGUAGAAUGGAGGUGCUGAGGUUGUCGCUGACUUUUGAAAGGGUCGUGCACGCCUCGGUGCUCUCACACACAAUCCAUCUCACCCCUUUGUGCAUCACCGCGUGAGGGCCCCCUUUUGGCUAGUUCUGAGGGGGGUUUUCACGUUUUUACACAGACACCCUUUUAAUGCAAUGUGUAGAAUGUCUUAGUUUUUUUUGCGAUCACGCAAUUAAUACAACUUUCAACAACGGAUCUCUUGGCUCUCGCAUCGAUGAAGAACGCAGCGAAAUGCGAUACGUAAUGUGAAUUGCAGAAUUCAGUGAAUCAUCGAAUCUUUGAACGCACCUUGCGCCCCUUGGUAUUCCGAGGGGCACACCCGUUUGAGUGUCGUGACAUCCUCAAACCUUCUUGGUUUCUUGACCGGGAAGGCUUUGGACGUUGGAGGCUUUUGCUGGCCUUCCUUUGUUGGAGCCAGCUCCUCUGAAAUGGAUUAGUGGGGUCUGCUUUGCCUAUCCUCGACGUGAUAAGAUGUUUUCUACGUCUUGGGGUUCGCACUGUUUCCUGCUUCUAACCGUCUCACAGAAGACAAUGGUCAAGUGAUUGCCACUUGACCCCAUGAACCUUGACCUCAAAUCAGGUAGGACUACCCGCUGAACUUAA
rnacentral:rRNA from 1 species